GAUGAACGCUGGCGGCGUGCUUAACACAUGCAAGUCGAACGAAGCACUUUUAAUUGAUUUCUUCGGAAUGAAGUUACUUGUGACUGAGUGGCGGACGGGUGAGUAACGCGUGGGUAACCUGCCUUGUACAGGGGGAUAACGCAUCGAAAGAUGUGCUAAUACCGCGUAAGACCACAGUACCGCAUGGUACAGGGGUCAAAGGAGCAAUCCGGUUUGAGAUGAGCUCGCGUCCGAUUAGCUAGUUGGUGAGAUAACAGCCCACCAAGGCAACGAUCGGUAGCCGACCUGAGAGGGUGAUCGGCCACAUUGGAACUGAGACACGGUCCAGACUCCUACGGGAGGCAGCAGUGGGGAAUAUUGGGCAAUGGGCGAAAGCCUGACCCAGCAACGCCGCGUGAGGGAAGAAGGGUUUCGGCUCGUAAACCUCUGUCCUAUGGGACGAAGAAGUGACGGUACCAUAGGAGGAAGCCCCGGCUAACUACGUG
rnacentral:rRNA from 1 species